rnacentral:rRNA from 1 species
AUCUACGUCCAUACACCCCGAAAGCUCCUGAUCUUGUCUGAUCUUGGAAGCUAAGCAGGUUCGGGCGUGGACUUGGAUGGGAGACCGCCUGGGAAUCCCGGGUGCUGUAUGCU